UGAACGCUGGCGGCAUGCCUUACACAUGCAAGUCGAACGGCAGCACGGGAGCAAUCCUGGUGGCGAGUGGCGAACGGGUGAGUAAUAUAUCGGAACGUGCCCAGUCGUGGGGGAUAACGCAGCGAAAGCUGUGCUAAUACCGCAUACGAUCUACGGAUGAAAGCGGGGGAUCGCAAGACCUCGCGCGAUUGGAGCGGCCGAUAUCAGAUUAGGUUGUUGGUGGGGUAAAAGCCCACCAAGCCGACGAUCUGUAGCUGGUCUGAGAGGACGACCAGCCACACUGGAACUGAGACACGGUCCAGACUCCUACGGGAGGCAGCAGUGGGGAAUUUUGGACAAUGGGCGCAAGCCUGAUCCAGCAAUGCCGCGUGCAGGAUGAAGGCCUUCGGGUUGUAAACUGCUUUUGUACGGAACGAAACGGUCUGCUCUAAUACAGCGGGCUAAUGACGGUACCGUAAGAAUAAGCACCGGCUAACUACGUGCCAGCAGCCGCGGUAAUACGUAGGGUGCGAGCGUUAAUCGGAAUUACUGGGCGUAAAGCGUGCGCAGGCGGUUAUAUAAGACAGAUGUGAAAUCCCCGGGCUCAACCUGGGACCUGCAUUUGUGACUGUAUAGCUAGAGUGCGGCAGAGGGGGAUGGAAUUCCGCGUGUAGCAGUGAAAUGCGUAGAUAUGCGGAGGAACACCGAUGGCGAAGGCA
rnacentral:rRNA from 1 species